ACGCUCGACACCUACGGGAGGCAGCAGUGAGGGAUAUUCGGCAAUGGGGGAAACCCUGACCGAGCAACGCCGCGUGAGGGAAGACGGUUUUCGGAUUGUAAACCUCUGUCCUCUGUGAAGAUAGUGACGGUAGCAGAGGAGGAAGCUCCGGCUAACUACGUGCCAAGCAGCCGCGGUAAUCUGAGCGGGCUGGCAAGGC
rnacentral:rRNA from 1 species